GACGAACGCUGGCGGCGUGCUUAACACAUGCAAGUCGAACGGAAAGGCCCUGCUUUUGUGGGGUGCUCGAGUGGCGAACGGGUGAGUAACACGUGAGUAACCUGCCCUUGACUUUGGGAUAACUUCAGGAAACUGGGGCUAAUACCGGAUAGGAGCUCCUGCUGCAUGGGGGGGGUUGGAAAGUUUGGGCGGUUGGGGAUGUACUCGGGGCUUAUCAGCUUGUUGGUGGGGUAGUGGCUUACCAAGGCUUUGACGGGUAGCCGGCCUGAGAGGGGGACCGGCCACAUUGGGACUGAGGUACGGCCCAGACUCGUACGGGAGGCAGCAGGGGGGAAUCUUGCACAAUGGGCGGAAGCCUGAUGAAGAAACGCCGCGUGCGGGAUGACGGCCUUCGGGUUGUAAACCGCAUUCGCCUGUGACGAAGCGUGAGUGACGGUAAUGGGUAAAGAAGCACCGGCUAACUACGUG
rnacentral:rRNA from 1 species